UACGUAGGGUGCGAGCGUUAAUCGGAAUUACUGGGCGUAAAGCGUGCGCAGGCGGUUCGCUGUGUCCGAUGUGAAAGCCCCCGGGCUUAACCUGGGAAUGGCAUUGGAAACUGGCGGGCUUGAGUGUGGCAGAGGGGGGGUGGAAUUCCGCGUGUAGCAGUGAAAUGCGUAGAGAUGCGGAGGAACACCGAUGGCGAAGGGCAGCCCCCCUGGGCUAACACUGACGCUCAGGCACGAAAGCUAGGGGAGCAAACAGG
rnacentral:rRNA from 1 species